rnacentral:rRNA from 1 species
CCUACGGGUGGCAGCAGUGAGGAAUAUUGGUCAAUGGGCGGAAGCCUGAACCAGCCAAGUAGCGUGCAGGAUGACGGCCCUACGGGUUGUAAACUGCUUUUAUACGGGAAUAACGCGCCUUACGUGUGGGGCUUUGCAUGUACCGUAUGAAUAAGGACCGGCUAAUUCCGUGCCAGCAGCCGCGGUAAUACGGAAGGUCCGGGCGUUAUCCGGAUUUAUUGGGUUUAAAGGGAGCGUAGGCCGCAUGUCAAGCGUGCUGGGAAAUGGCCGGGCUCAACCCGGGCCUUGCAGCGCGAACUGGCGUGCUUGAGUCCGCAGAAGGCAGGCGGAAUUCGUCGUGUAGCGGUGAAAUGCUUAGAUAUGACGAAGAACCCCGAUUGCGAAGGCAGCUUGCUGCAGCGGAACUGACGCUGAUGCUCGAAGGCGCGGGUAUCGAACAGGAUUAGAUACCCUUGUAGUC